CAGGUAGCCUAGUGGUUAGAGUGUAGAGGAGGCAGGUAGCCUAGUGGUUAGAGUGUAGAGGAGGCAGGGUAGCCUAGUGGUUAGAGUGUAGAGGAGGCAGGGUAGCCUAGUGGUUAGAGUGUAGAGGAGGCAGGGUAGCCUAGUGGUUAGAGUGUAGAGGAGGCAGGGUAGCCUAGUGGUUAGAGUGUAGAGGAGGCAGGGUAGCCUAGUGGUUAGAGUGUAGAGGAGGCAGGUAGCCUAGUGGUUAGAGUGUAGAGGAGGCAGGGUAGCCUAGUGGUUAGAGCGUUGAGGUGGCAGGUAGCCUAGUGGUUAGAGUGUAGAGGAGGCAGGGUAGCCUAGUGGUUAGAGCGUAGAGGUGGCAGGUAGCCUAGUGGUUAGAGGAGGCAGGUAACCUAGUGGUUAGAGUGUAGAGGAGGCAGGGUAGCCUAGUGGUUAGAGCGUAGAGGCGGCAGGGUAGCCUAGUGGUUAGAGGUGGCAGGUAGCCUAGUGGUUAGAGUGUAGAGGAGGCAGGGUAGCCUAGUGGUUAGAGCGUAGAGGAGGCAGGGUAGCCUAGUGGUUAGAGUGUAGAGGUGGCAGGUAGCCUAGUGGUUAGAGUGUAGAGGGGGCAGGUAGCCUAGUGGUUAGAGUGUAGAGGAGGCAGGUAGCCUAGUGGUUAGAGUGUAGAGGUGGCAGGUAGCCUAGUGGUUAGAGUGUAGAGGUGGCAGGUAGCCUAGUGGUUAGAGCGUAGAGGUGGCAGGUAGCCUAGUGGUUAGAGUGUAGAGGUGGCAGGUAGCCUAGUGGUUAGAGUGUAGAGGAGGCAGGUAGCCUAGUGGUUAGAGCGUAGAGGUGGCAGGUAGCCUAGUGGUUAGAGUGUAGAGGGGGCAGGUAGCCUAGUGGUUAGAGCGUAGAGGUGGCAGGUAGCCUAGUGGUUAGAGUGUAGAGGGGGCAGGUAGCCUAGUGGUUAGAGUGUAGAGGAGGCAGGGUAGCCUAGUGGUUAGAGUGUAGAGGAGGCAGGGUAGCCUAGUGGUUAGAGCGUAGAGGUGGCAGG
ensembl:lncRNA